rnacentral:lncRNA from 1 species
AUUCACUCUGUCCUGCUGCCCUGUGAAGAAGGUGCCUGUUUCUCUUUUGCCUUCUGCCAUGAUUGUAGGUUUCUUGAGGUCUCUCCAACAAUGUGGAAGGGGGCACAAAACCUGAAAACUGCAAUUUAUAAAUCCCCUUGCCAGUGGAACCUCAGUUGUAUUUUGACAAAGAGGGAUAUUUGCAAAUUAUUCGGAGAGUAGAAGGCAAAGAUGCAUUGUUAUUACCUGGAGACAGCCACAUGUAGGUGCAUUGGUAUUGAGAGAGAGCAGACAUAGAUUUUUGCCAGCAAUUUCUGGACAUCUUUCUGAGAAGAAUCCAAUUAAGUGCUUACAGGAAGCAGAAAUCACAGGAGCCACCACUGAUGUUCACUCAAGGCCUAAGGGGUCUUCAAUCUGCUUUGGUGAAUGUGGCCAGUCUCAAGCCUCUCCUUUCAGGACAGUAGGCUCCCCUCUGGCUCAGGGUAAGUGCAAAACUGCCAUCCAGGAGCCAGGGCCUGGAAUCAGGGACCCCAGAAGCCUUCUUGUUGCUCUGUUCCACUGUAACCAACUUGGUACCCAAGCUGAUUUGUGGUUCUCAUGAAGGUGCUUUCUUGUGUAGAUAGUUG